AUGCUUCAACCUCUAAAUCCAAACAAAUUUUCACCACCGAUUCUACUUUUCCUCUUCGUACCAGUUACAAUGGCGACAACUACUUCAUCUCCUUCGAAAUCCCAAAUCCCAUCGCACCUCCAAUACCUUUCAUACACCAAGAAACGCCCCCGCCAUUCAUUUUCCACACCGCCGGUACCAUCUUCAUCGGACUACCACCAAUUUCGUCCAACCACCGGAACAUCAUCACAUCCGCUGUUCGUCCUCCCGUUUCUCUACUUCUCCUCUGAGCAUCUCUUUGCUUGUUGUAUUUGUUGUUAA